rnacentral:ncRNA from 1 species
AUUCUGGUUGAUCCUGCCAGUAGUUAUAUGCUUGUCUCAAAGAUUAAGCCAUGCAUGUCUAAGUACAAACGAAAAUAAAGUGAAACCGCAAAAGGCUCAUUAUAUCAGUUAUGGUUUCUUAGAUCGUAUCCACAAUUACUUGGAUAACUGUGGUAAUUCUAGAGCUAAUACAUGCAUUUAAAGAGAAACCGGUAAAACGGGUUCUCUGCUUUUAUUAGAUUUAAACCAAUGGGGAGCGUUUCGGCGUUCUCACAUUUAAACUG